GGCAAUUCACCUAGGAGAGCAAACUCUAAACAAACCCGGGCAGGUGGAGGUCGUUAGCCGUGGUAGGCAAUUCACCUAGGAGAGCAAACUCUAAACAAACCCGGGCAGGUGGAGGUCGUUAGCCGUGGUAGGCAAUUCACCUAGGAGAGCAAACUCCGAACAAUAAACCCGGGCAGGUGGAGCUCGUCAGCCGUGGGAGGCAAUUCACCUAGGAGAGCAAACUCUAAACAAACCCGGGCAGGUGGAGGUCGUUAGCCGUGGUAGGCAAUUCACCUAGGAGAGCAAACUCUAUACAAACCCGGGCAGGUGGAGGUCGUUAGCCGUGGUAGGCAAUUCACCUAGGAGAGCAAACUCUAUACAAACCCGGGCAGGUGGAGGUCGUCAGCCGUGGGAGGCAAUUCACCUAGGAGAGCAAACUCUAAACAAACCCGGGCAGGUGGAGGUCGUUAGCCGUGGUAGGCAAUUCACCUAGGAGAGCAAACUCCGAACAACAAACCCGGGCAGGUGGAGCUCGUCAGCCGUGGUAGGCAAUCUGCCUAGGAGAGCAAACUCCGAACAACAAACCCGGGCAGGUGGAGCUCGUCAGCCGUGGUAGGCAAUCUGCCUAGGAGAGCAAACUCCGAACAACAAACCCGGGCAGGUGGAGCUCGUCAGCCGUGGUAGGCAAUCUGCCUAGGAGAGCAAACUCCGAACAAUAAACCCGGGCAGGUGGAGGUCGUCAGCCGUGGUAGGCAGUCUGCCUAGGAGAGCAAACUCUAAAUAAACCCGGGCUUGUGGUGCUCGUUAUACUGUCGUAGACAAUCCACGCGAUGGGAACACCAAAGAAAAGGAAAAUAAAAAAGAACACCAGAAAAUGGAAAAUACAGAAACGAAACAUCAAGAAAAGAA